CCUACGGGUGGCUGCAGUGAGGAAUAUUGGUCAAUGGACGCAAGUCUGAACCAGCCAUGCAGCGUGCAGGAAGACGGCUCUAUGAGUUGUAAACUGCUUUUGUACGGGGGUAAACGCCGCUACGCGUAUCUGUCUGAAAGUAUCGUACGAAUAAGGAUCGGCUAACUCCGUGCCAGCAGCCGCGGUAAUACGGAGGGUUCAAGCGUUAUCCGGAUUUAUUGGGUUUAAAGGGUGCGUAGGCGGAUGUUGAAGUCAGCGGUAAAAUGUCCGGGCUCAACCCGGGCCGGCAGUUGAAACUGGGGAUCUUGAGUGGGCGAGAGGUAGGCGGAAUGCGUGGUGUAGCGGUGAAAUGCAUAGAUAUCACGCAGAACUCCGAUUGUGAAGGCAGCAUACCGGCGCCCGACUGACGCUGAGGCACGAAGGCGUGGGGAUCGAACAGGAUUAGAUACCCGGGUAGUC
rnacentral:rRNA from 1 species